UACGAAGGGGGCUAGCGUUGCUCGGAAUUACUGGGCGUAAAGCGCACGUAGGCGGCUUUCUAAGUCGGGGGUGAAAUCCUGGAGCUCAACUCCAGAACUGCCUUCGAUACUGGAGAGCUUGAGUCCGGGAGAGGUGAGUGGAACUGCGAGUGUAGAGGUGAAAUUCGUAGAUAUUCGCAAGAACACCAGUGGCGAAAGGCGGCCUCAG
rnacentral:rRNA from 1 species